rnacentral:rRNA from 1 species
AUUGAACGCUGGCGGCAGGCCUAACACAAGCAAGUCGAGCGAGCGGCGGAGGGGUGAGUAAUGUCUGGGAAACUGCCGGAUACAGGGGGAUAACUACUGGAAACGGUAUCUAAUACCGCAUACCAUCAGAUGUGCCCAGAUGGGAUUAGCUAGUAGGUGGGGUAACGGCUCACCUAGGCGACGAUCCCUAGCUGGUCUGAGAGGAUGACCAGCCACACUGGCACUGAGACACGGUCCAGACUCCUACGGGAGGCAGCAGUGGGGAAUAUUGCACAAUGGGCGAAAGCCUGAUGCAGCCAUGCCGCGUGUGUGAAGAAGGCUUUCGGGUUGUAAAGCACUUUCAGCGGGGAGGCGUUACCCGCAGAAGAAGCACCGGCUAACUCCGUGCCAGCAGCCGCGGUAAUUC